rnacentral:rRNA from 1 species
AGAGUUUGAUCAUGGCUCAGGAUGAACGCUGGCGGCGUGCCUAAUACAUGCAAGUCGAGCGGCAGCGCGAGUAGUUUACUACUUGGCGGCGAGCGGCGGACGGCUGAGUAACACGUAGGAACGUACCCCAAAGUGAGGGAUAAGCUCCAGAAAUGGUGUCUAAUACCGCAUGUGCUCUAAGGAGUAAAGCUUUAUGCGCUUUGGGAACGGCCUGCGUAUGAUUAGUUUGUUGGUGAGGUAAUGGCUCACCAAGACUACGAUCAUUAGCUGGUCUGAGAGGAUGAUCAGCCAGACUGGGACUGAGACACGGCCCAGACUCCUACGGGAGGCAGCAGUAGGGAAUUUUCCACAAUGGGCGAAAGCCUGAUGGAGCAACGCCGCGUGCAGGAUGAACCCCCUCGGGGCGUAAACUGCUUUUAUAUGUGACGAAUAUGACGGUAGCAUAUGAAUAAGGAUCGGCUAACUCCGUGCCAGCAGCCGCGGUCAUACGGAGGAUCCAAGCGUUAUCCGGAAUUACUGGGCGUAAAGAGUUGCGUAGGUGGCAUAGUAAGUUAGUAGUGAAAGAGUGGGGCUCAACCCCAUACACAUUACUAAAACUGCUAAGCUAGAGGAUGAGAGAGGUUAUUGGAAUUCCCUGUGUAGGAGUGAAAUCCGUAGAUAUAGGGAGGAACACCGAUGGCGUAGGCAGAUAACUGGCUCAUUCCUGACACUAAGGCACGAAAGCGUGGGUAGCAAACGGGAUUAGAUACCCUGGUAGUCC